UUACGAUGUUCCAUGUUUAUUCUAACAGUGCAUUUUAUUGGUGCAUUUUAUCAACUCCCUCAAGUACAGCAAGCGUACCUCACUAUUUUCGACUUUCGACUUUCGAGAUACUAGUAUCGUUACAUUUACCGCACGCAAUUUCUUCUGAAAAUGGAUAGAGAUUGUUUUCUAGAAGCCCAAGAAGCAAUGAACAGCAACAACAAAGAAGCUCUGUUGCUUCUGUACAACGAGCUACGCGGGCAGUUGAAUUCAAAGCCAAGAUGUUCAUCUUACUUGCUUCGAUCAAAACUGGGCAAUUCACUGUACCGGCAUAUUGUCGCUGAGACAUAUAUUCCAAGCAGUAUGAAAUCGCAGGGAAAGAUCUACACUGCAAUCAGAUCUCAAGCAUCAGGGAAUUGUCUUUACAGCUCAGUAUCUUUGCUGCUUGUAGGAGACAACAGCUUAGGCAACUAAUUGGUUCCUCUCCUUCACCCCCUUUACUAAAACCAGGCGAAGUGCACAUUCCUUUAAACCAUAGCUUUAAAUCUCAUCACAAGAUGUUAGUUCAAGUAAGUAAUUUUUGAAAGUCUAUGCAAUAUUUAUUUCAUGCUUAUGUGCUCACUUAAGGCAAAUUUAUGCAUAUGUGUUUUUGAUAAUUGCUGACUCAUGAAGAACAAGUAUUGCCAGCAAUGGAACAACAAGAAAGGACAACUAAGCUUCAUCUUAUGUCACAGAACCUAAAAAAUAUUUAUCAUAAAUGGAAAGCAUUGUGUGGCCAUAGACCAACAUGAUGUUUAGAAACAGCUUUCAAAAGACACCGCGAGAGAACUGGCUAACAUAUCUGGAAUGCGCUUGACUCAAAUAUAAAGUAAACCAGAAAGAUUGAAAACUGAAAUUGGCGGAGAUUGAAAGUCAAGUUCGUGAAAUAAAUAGUCUCAAACACUAAUUCAACCCAUAGGUAUGAAGGAUAUUUUAUUUAAUUGUUUUACCGUUUGAUCAUCGUCAUGCAUGCGCAUACUAUGUUCAUAAUGUAUGGCCAAGCCAAUGAAAUUUUAAUAAACAAACGUGAGAAAUA